rnacentral:snoRNA from 1 species
UGACUAUGAUGAGAAGUUAAUUAUAGGUCUCGUUCGUCGUAUUGGCUUAGAAUUUUCUAUGCCUUGCCGAUCAUCCUUACCAACUGAGUCA